UCUCUUUAGGAAUUAGAUAUUUGGG
rnacentral:misc_RNA from 1 species